GUGUCAGACACAGCGGCAACUGUGAAGACAUCCCUUGCCCUUCCUGAAAGCCCUCGGUUGAUCAUCCUAGGUCCAAUUAUUCCUGAUCAGCGUUGGAUGGUUAGCAUUGAGGGCCACGUGGUGUGCGAAGGAGCAUCGUUUGUGUUGGGGCUUGCUGUUGUCUUCACAUGCUACUACAACUUCAACCUCCAAUAUCAGGAUCAGGCUGCCUGCACACUUGAAUUCAUACAGCGAAGCUGUGUUGGAAUCAACCCAGAGAGAGGGACAAAGGCACAUCAGGGAAAGGUGACCAGCAAGAAGAGCGGGAGACUGGUCCAAAAGAAAGUGACAUCCCUGAAUCCGCAUGUGUGCACCCUCUUGAGGAAGCUCAUGGAUUUUGAGUGGGACUUUGUAUGAGUUUAUCACUACCCUGACUCUGUCCAUAAAGUUCAAAUGAGUACACACACACACAAAUCCUUCAUAUCUCACUCACUUACUCACUGACCACCCCGCUAUGUCUCACUCAUUCACAUUGCUAUUUGUAUGGGCUAUUUUUGUAUUUAUUUUUAUUUAAUUCUCUUUACAAUGUCCAAACGGGCAUUAUUUCUGUUUAAUAUUGAAGUUGGCUAUUGGGUUAGCACACAAUAUUGUUCAACAGCAUGGAUCUGUAAAGUAAAACCCCCUAGCGUAAUGGGGGGGCUCUUUCCUUUUGAAACAAAGAAGUAUUUACCCAGUCCGUAAAGUACAAAUGUUUCAGCCUGUCACUCACUCGGAUAACCACACACAAGUUUAUUCAUAGCAGUAUUUUUAUGUGCAAUAGCUAUUUUGUAUUUUGGGCUAGCACACAGUAUUUUUCAAUAGUCAGUAUUGUUUUGUCAAGUAAAACCCCCUAGCGUAAUGGGGAGGCUCUUUUCUUUUGAAACAGAUUAGUAACUGUAUUUACUCAGUUCGUUAAGUACAAAUGUUUUCAGCUCACUCGGAUAACCAAACACUCACUUCGAAAAAUACACUCUCACACAUGCAACUUAUCCAUACCAUUUUGAUUUGUAAAGGCUUGAAUAUCUGUUAUUUGGAUGCUACUUUUGCUCAAACUUUGACUAUUCUAAUAAACAAGACCAUUAUGAAUAUAUCUUAUUGUCUUGUUUAUUGUUGUAAAUUGUUAUUUUUCAUGCUUGUUAAUUUUACAGAUGCUUCCACUACAGUUUCCUAAAUAUUUUGGGGUAAAGAGCCGAUACUGAAAUGUUUGGAAUUAAUUUAGCAAUUUAAUUUACAUUUUGAUUUACUGUAUUUCCCCAAUACAGUAUUAAUGCUGUAAAUUGCACUGUAGAGAUAAUGUAAAUUUUACAGUAUCUUACAGGUGAAACUGCUGCCAGUAAAAUACUGUAAUUUUACAGUGAAAGGUUUUACAGUGUAGUUAUGUUGCCUAAACCUAACCAAAUAAUUUUGUGUUGCUGGACUUGAAUAGGAAAACGCAAGAAAAGUAAAAGAACUUUUUCCUAAGAUACAUACGAACCGUUGAAAGAGACUACAUUGUUAAACGUGUUUUUUCUUCAUAUUAUUACAUUAUAUUCAUUCUCCAUACACUCGCACGUCUCCUUAAGAUGGUUAUGUUGCUAUAUCUGAUCCAUACCUUUAUUGCAUUGACAU